ACACCCACAUAAAUAAUAACAAAAUGUCUGUGUGAUGAACUCAACAUCGUGGUGAGCCCCAUCAGUGGUGGCUCAGAACACAGGUUCUGGGUUUGAACGACACACCACUUGUCAAACGUGCUCCUUGGGCAUGUUUUCUCUGUAAGACAAGGAAAUGUUGGCAUUUUAUUCACGGGUUGUCAGAGGCAUGAGUAAGUUUAACGACACAACACUUUCCAUUAUGCUUGAUACAAAAAUGGUCAGCUUUGGGCUUUAGUUAUUGCUCU
rnacentral:lncRNA from 1 species